GGUUAUUGAUGUUGAGAAAAAAACUCUUAACAAUGUUAUCACUUUCCCACCUGAUGGGGUUUUCUUUGUUCGGUCUACUAUUGAAGUUGCAUCUUCUCAGCGUGUAAAUUUCAGAUUCACAAGUGCAGUUCUGCGUGGAAAAAAUUGGGAAUUUCCUCUACCACCAUUUGGACAAGGGUGGUUUGAGACUGUGUACCUUGAUGAUGAUAUUCGAG
rnacentral:misc_RNA from 1 species